rnacentral:rRNA from 1 species
CAACUUUCGACAACGGAUCUNUUGGUUCUCCCAUNGAUGAAGAACGCAGCGAAAUGCGAUAAGUAAUGUGAAUUGCAGAAUUCAGUGAAUCAUCGAAUCUUUGAACGCACCUUGCGCUCCUUGGUAUUCCGAGGAGCAUGCCUGUUUGAGUGUCAU